rnacentral:misc_RNA from 1 species
GGAAGGAUCAUUACUGAAUUGUCAAACGGGCUGUUGCUGGUCCUCGAAUGGGGACAUGUGCACGCUCUGUUUACACAUCCACUCACACCUGUGCACCCUCUGUAGUUUUACGGUCUGGGGGACCCUGUCUUCCUUCCGUAGUUCUACGUCUUUACACACACACUGUAAUAAAGUCUUAUGGAAUGUAUGCCGCGUCUAACGCAACACAAUACAACUUUCAGCAACGGAUCUCUUGGCUCUCGCAUCGAUGAAGAACGCAGCGAAAUGCGAUAAGUAAUGUGAAUUGCAGAAUUCAGUGAAUCAUCGAAUCUUUGAACGCACCUUGCGCCCCUUGGAUAUUCCGAGGGGCAUGCCUGUUUGAGUAUCAUGAACACCUCAACUCUCAUG